UACGUAGGGGGCAAGCGUUGUCCGGAAUCAUUGGGCGUAAAGCGCGUGUAGGCGGCCAGGUAAGUCCGUUCUGAAAGCCCGGGGCUCAACCCCGGGAGGCGGAUGGAUACUGCUUGGCUCGAGUCCGGAAGAGGCGAGUGGAAUUCCCGGUGUAGCGGUGAAAUGCGCAGAUAUCGGGAGGAACACCAAUGGCGAAGGCAGCUCGCUGGGACGGUACUGACGCUGAGACGCGAAAGCGUGGGAGCAAACAGGAUUAGAAACCCUGA
rnacentral:rRNA from 1 species